rnacentral:rRNA from 1 species
GCCGGCGCGUGCUAUAAUGCAGUCGAGCGAGCCUGCCUGCUGAGCUCUUCGGAGCGGACUCAUAUACCGGCUAACGGCGGAUGGGUGAGUAACACGUGGGUAACCUGCCCUUAACCCGGGGAUACCACUUGGAAACAGGUGCUAAUACCGGAUAACAGCUGCAGCUGCAUGGCAACAGCUUGAAAGGCGGCGUAAGCUGUCGCUAAAGGAUGGACCCGCGGUGCAUUAGCUAGGUGGUAGGGUAAAGGCCUACCAAGGCGAUGAUGCAUAGCCGAGUUGAGAGACUGAUCGGACACAUUGGGACUGAGACGCGGCCCAAACUCCUACGGGAGGCAUCAGUAGGGAAUCUUCCACAAUGGACGAAAGUCUGAUGGAGCAACGCCGCGUGAGUGAAGAAGGUUUUCGGAUCGUAAAGCUCUGUUGUUGGUGAAGAAGGAUAGAGAGAGUAACUGAUCUUUAUUUGACGGCAAUCAACCAGAAAGUCACGGCUAACUACGUGCCAGCAGCCGCGGUAAUACGUAGGUGGCAAGCGUUGGCCGGAUUUAUUGGGCGUAAAGCGAGCGCAGGCGGAAAGAUAAGUCUGAUGUGAAAGCCCUCGGCUCAACCGGGGAACUGCAUCGGAAACUGUCUUUCUUGAGUGCAGAAGAGGAGAGUGGAACUCCAUGUGUAGCGGUGGAAUGCGUAGAUAUAUGGAAGAACACCAGUGGCGAAAGCGGCUCUCUGGUCUGUAACUGACGCUGAGGCUCGACAGCAUGGGUAGCGAACAGGAUUAGAUACCCUGGUAGUCCAUGCCGUAAACGAUGAGUGCUAAGUGAUGGGAGGUUUCCGCCUCUCAGUGCUGCAGCUAACGCAUUAAUCACUCCGCCUGGAGAGUACGACCGCAAGGCUGAAACUCAAAGGAAUUGACGGGGGCCCGCACAAGCGCUGGAGCAUGUGGGUUAAUUCGAAGCUACGCGAAGAACCUUACCAGGUCUUGACAUCUACUGCAAUCCUAAGACAU